rnacentral:rRNA from 1 species
CGGGGGGGGCAAGCGUUGUUCGGAAUUACUGGGCGUAAAGGGUUCGUAGGUGGCUUGCUAAGUCAGACGUGAAAUCCCUCAGCUUAACUGGGGAACUGCGUCUGAGACUGGCGAGCUUGAGUGCAGGAGAGGAACGCGGAAUUCCAGGUGUAGCGGUGAAAUGCGUAGAUAUCUGGAGGAACACCGGUGGCGAAGGCGGCGUUCUGGACUGCAACUGACACUGAGGAACGAAAGCCAGGGGAGCAAACGGGAUUAGAUACCCCGGUAGUCCUGGCCCUAAACGAUGAAUGCUUGGUGUGGCGGGUAUCGAUCCCUGCCGUGCCGUAGUUAACGCGUUAAGCAUUCCGCCUGGGGAGUACGGUCGCAAGGCUG